AGGGGCAUAGCUCAAGUAGUGGAGUGCUUGCUUGGCAUGCACGGGGUCCUGGGUUCAAUCCCCAGUACCUCUU
rnacentral:tRNA from 1 species